UAACUAGCUCAGUUGGUAGAGAAGGAGACUCUUAAUCUCAGGGCCAUAGGUUCGACCCCCACAUCGGGCUAAA